rnacentral:lncRNA from 1 species
GGAUGAUUUGUCCCAGAAAUAAAGGGUUGGGUUAAUAUUAGGGGGGAAAAAAAUCAACGUGAAUUCAAUAACAGACUAAAAACAAAAACCACAUGAUCUUCUCAACAGAUGAAGAGAAAGCAUUUAAUAAACUCCAUUCAUCCCUGAGAAAAUCUACACAAAUUAGGAAAACAGAAUACCAUCAACCCGAGAGAGGUGACAGAAGACAGAGAUGGAGAAGAUUAGGGUGUCUCAGCCAAGAACUCAGAAAAGUAAAGAGAAAAUCACUUUUCCUCCGUGACAGAGAGAACUGCAAACUUUCUCCAGAUGCCUCAAAAGAAAUGUUAAAGCUGCCUUCCCCUACCUUCCAUGACCUACUGCUAAAAGGAGGAACUUGUUUUUCACUCUUUAAGGAAAAUUGA